rnacentral:rRNA from 1 species
GGGUCAGUAGGUUGGUCGUGCCACCGGUACGUACUGGUCUCACUGAUUCCUCCUUCCUGAAGAACCGUAAUGCCAUUAAUUUGGUGUUGCGGGGAAGCAGGGCUGUUACUUUGAAAAAAUUAGAGUGUAUAAAGCAAGCUAACGCUUGAAUACAUUAGCAUGGAAUAAUGAAAUAGGACGAUCGAUCCUAUUUUGUUGGUUUCUAGGAUUGACGUA